CAGUACAAUAAAAUCAUUCAAGUGAUAAACAUAUAAAAAGUCAAAAAAACUCUAUAUAAUUUAUAAACAUAAAAUUCCUCUGGAAUUUUCUAAUUCUCUAUUUAACUUCAGCUACAACUAAAAUCAAACCAAAAUGUGUGGACCUUGUGGUGGAUGCUGCGGUGGCUGCUGCGGUGGCUGUUGUUGUCCGUGCAUUACUAUAUACACGUGCUGUACGAAGAUUUGUUAAAACGUGUCGUUACAGAAGCGGCCAUGACAAGGUCUUCAUGGGAUGCUGCCAUGUUAACCUUAUCAAUGAUGUCCGUUACAAUUCGUGAUGUUUUAUGAAAUAAAGUUGUUUGUAUAAAAUGUACAAAA